CAGGUAAAAAAAUUUCCGGACAUACCAUCUUAGUGAGGCGGAUAUGUGUAAAAUUAUUGAUCAGUAAUUCCCGUUGAGGUUAAAAGCAUCAAACUUUUACAAUUGAUGCAGUUUUAUUUGCAUAAUAGUUUUAUGAAGUGGGGCCAUCGCUAUUUUGCUGCUAACUCGUACGUGAAAACGGCUGAUUAGUGAUUUUCUUCUAUUGAAUUCUAUUAUAGCCAAAAAAUGUGAAAUUUUGUAUUCAAUUAUGGCUUGCAUCAUCAGAAAGCUUAUAAAAAACUGCAUAUAAGACGUUUAGACAGUUUUUUGAUUUCUGAAAUAGUUUUCGAAUUAUAAACUGUUAAAAACGCAUUUUCAAACAUCGAAUAAUUAAUUAGGGACUUUUAGCGAGAUAAUGUGCCUAA